UAUGUGUUGGGAGAGAGGGGAGGUGUGAAAUAUCUGAGCCCAUCUCUCAGCUGCAUGGUAACAUGUAAUACAAUUCUGAACAACAAAAGUAUAAAAAAAGAAAGAAAAAAACAGUGAAAGUUCAUGUUUUCUUUCUCCAGACAAAAUUACAUUCCCCUUCAGAAAGUCAUUACACCUGGCAGGCCACUCCUGAGUAAACCUGGAAAAAAGACCUUCAGAAGAAUAGAUUCAAGACAUCAAGAUUUGGAAUGGCCAAUUAUGCCACUCAAGUCACUGCUGUUCCUCCCACUCCUGAUGACAACCGGUCGCCUGGAAACCUAAGAAACCCUGUUUGAUGUAAACCCGCCCUGCUCAUAGGGAGAAUUUUCCCCGGUAGAGCUGGUCGGGAGUUCAGUGUGAGACUUUUUUUUUUGUUGUUGUAAAUUUCCAAGGUUCCUAUGCUCUGUUUCUUUACAACAACUGAGGGACUGACAAAAGCCAAUGAUAAAAUAGCCAUUCAAUAAAAAAAUGGUUUUCUGUAAA